CUGGCUCCUGGACAGCCUCCCUGCAGCUGGGGGCCUCAUUCCCAGGAGCGUUCCCAGCCCAGCAAUGUCAGGUGGGACUCAGGGGUGACCUUGCUCUGCUUCCUGGCUGGGAGGGUGGGAACUGCAGCCAAGAGUGCAGGUGCCUGGCCCUCCCCACGCUGCCCCAGGCCACUGCCAGGUGUGGGCGAUGAGUCAGAGCCAGGCUGGGAGGACAAGGCAGCCCUGGGGGCCUGAAGCUGUCACAGCCUCGCUCCCUCAGCCUUUUCCAGGAGUACUUGAUGGGGGGAGGGCUGGACCUGUGCCAAAGUCCCCCCCAGCAGUGUCACCAAGAGGACAUGAGGCAGAGCACCCUGCGGACCCCAAAUCUACCUCUUUGCUGGCUGGAGGGGGGACAGACAUGAUGUUCUGUUCAUUUCCACUCCUAGCACAUCUAGGACAGGGCUGGGCACACAGUGGGGGUGCAACAAAUGUGCACGGAUGGAAUAUACCGAAAUUUGUACAGAACCUUCUAAGAGACAGGGUUUGUUCGGGUGGACAGAGCACAGGCUCUGGAGACCAACAGACAGGGGUCUGGGGACACUAGGCAGGGAAUUUGCCUAUCUGAGCCUCAGUCUGCUCAUCAGGGAAAUGGGGCCAACAAUGAAUACCUUGUUAAGGACCAUCGUGAACGAGGCAACCUCAGCAAACUGUUUACAGGGCUUUUGACUCUAUCCACAAAAACACACAGAUCACAUUUCAUUACAAAUACUCAUGACCAUAUCUGCUCCCCCCUUGGAUAGUGUGGCCAUACUGAGUAGAGGCUUCUGAGACAUAAGGCAUGGACUUGAAUUCUGGACCUCUUUUACUUUGCUGCGUGACCUUGGACAAUUUGUUCACCCUCUCUGAGUCUCAGAUUUUUUAUUUGUUAAACAGGCAUGAUGACUGUAGAGUCCAUGGUGAGCUUUGAAGAGGGAAUGUUGUGCUGGGCAAGAUGGUGUAAGCCUAUGAACCCAGCUCAUCAAGAGGCAGAAGCAAGAGGAUCACAAGUUCAAGGCCAGCCUGGGCAACUUAGUGAGACCGUGUCUCAAAAUAAAAUGAAAAGGGCUGGGGAUGUAGCUCAGUGAAGGAAAAGACUUGUAGCUAAUCAACAAGGAUCAGCCACAUGCCUGAGUAGAAUGGAAAGAGCUGGGCUGGGGAUAAAGAGACCUGGGCUCUGGAACUGACUUUGAAGUCACUUGGCUGAGUGUCCAUGGACAAUCCUUCACCCUCUCUGGGCCUAGAUUCCCAUUUAUAAAAUGAAGGACUGGGCCCAAUGGCCCAGGGGUCUUUCUGGCUGGGCCUUCUCUAAGUCUUGGCCAGGUCAGGCUCAGGAGCCAGACCCCUGUGACUGACUCCUCGGUGGGAAGCAGAGCACAGGUGACCAGAGUGUCCCAGGUGUGCCUUGAGUCAGUGGAGGUGGCUGAUCAGGUGCGUCCUGGCUUGGCCCCAACAAGCCACGGGGCUGAAGCUGAGGCUUCUGCAGGCAGAGGACGUGCCUGAGCACGUGGCUGAUCAGCAGCAGGAGCUGGCCGUGAAGCCCCACCUGGCCGGCUCCAAGGUCAGGGCUCACUCUGCUGCUCUCCCGGAGCUGCAGCCUCACUUGGCCCUCGUGCACCUGUCAUCUGACCUGUCCUCAGGCAGAAACCCGCCCAGAGAGAUGGAGGCUCCCCAGGAGCGCUGGGCUGGGAGGUGGAGGAGCCAAAGGGCAGGAGAAGCCAGGCUUCCCUGCUCCACCUGAGCUGCUUCUCCACCUGGAGGCCAACCCUGGCCUGGGCCCUGCCGCCCCACCAAGUCCCUAGCUCGUCUUCCUCCAGGCCAUCCUGCAUCCCGGACCCGAGUCUCCUGAAAGGGCUCUGACCACUGGCUCUUCUUUUCCUCUUUCAGCAAAUACGUACUGGGCAGCCUCUAGGGUGCCCUGCUCUGCUCCGUUCACAGGUACCAGGGAUACAGACACAAGUAGGGCAAAGUCCCACCCCAUGGGGGUUUGCAUUCUAGUGCUGAAUAGAUUACAAAUUGCUCUGAAGACAGAUGAAGCUGGAUCAGAGGAUGAUGCGAUCAGGUGUGAUUUGAGGCCAGGCAUAGUGUGUGUGUGUGUGUCUGUGUGUGUGUGUGUUCUGGGGAUUGAACCCAGAGCUAUAUUCCCAACCUUUUAAAAAAAAAAAAUCCUCCCUGGCCUUUAAAAAAAUUUGAGACAGUUUCACUAAAGUUGCCCAGGCUGGCCUUGAACUUGGGAUCCUCCUGCCUCAGCCUCCGGAGUCGCUGGGAUUAUAGGCGUGUACCAGCCCAGGUGCUGAUUUUGAGUUGGGUGCAAAGUAAACUGGAAGUUUGAUACACAGGGCAGCACAUUCCUCCAGGGAGGAUGCUCAGGGGCUGUUGAGAGUCCUCAGGGAAAGCAUCACAGAGAUGCUAACAUAGGCGCCAAGCUAGGUAGGAGAGUAUACCUGGCCACUGGGGUAACAGCCUGAGUAUAGGCAGAGGGGUGUGAUGUUCCUGGGGGCAGGAGCAGGGCAGCGUGAGUGGAGACGUACAGCUAACACUGCUGCCAGGUGGGAAAGGGUGAUGGAAUGUCAAACACAGAAGUUUGAACUUGAUCCCCAGGGUGAUAGGGAGCCCUGGAGGGUUGUUGAGCAGCGGAGUAACUCUUUAGCGCUCUCACCCUAUAGCAGUGCAAGGGUCUGGAAGGCCAAGGCGAGCGAGGGCAGGUGUGGGGCGGUCCUUGUGGGGAGGUCCACGCGUGCGGGCUGACCCUGGGCCCUCGGAGGUUGGAAUGUUCCAUGACUCAGCGCCGUCAUGGCUGUGAGCACCCAGAACUGGAUUCUGCAGGCUGGAGGCCUGAUGUGAAGGUGGAGGCAGAGGGGGAGAAGGGCAGCUCUCAGACCAGAGCCAGAGAGAACCAGGCGGGUCCAGGCCUCAGGCUGAGCAGAAAGGGACGUUAGGGAAUCAGCCUCCGAGACGGGUGUGCGGGGGCAGCCCGGUCUCUGACCAGGCCAAGCCUCCUCACUGAGCUGCACACGGUUCCUCUGCUACAGAGAAGCUGUUUCUUAAGCACCUACUGUAUACCAAGAGCUGGGCAACUUUCUGCAUCAGCACCCCAUGGGCAGCUACUCCUCAUCUACAGUUUCACAGGGAACUGAGGUUCAGAGACUUAGUGCCCUGCUGAGGGCUACACGUCGACCUUGAGGUGGAGCUGGGAUCAGUCCAGGUCUGUGUGGCUCGGCCACGUUCACGCCCCGCAGAGCGCGGUGUAGACAGGAGGGAGCAGGGGCCUCUGCCAGUGGCUCUCCUUCCUGAUCUCCGCCGCCUUGAGGGGUUCAGGAUUCGGGGCUGCAACGGCCGUAGUCCGGUGCCCACCAGCACUGAGGACUUCUGGGGACGGGGCCGCCACGGUUCAGGCCCCUGCGUUUCCAGAAUCCACGCUGGAGCCUAAUCCCCAACGCGGCACCCAGCCCAGGGCCGGGCACUGCAGAGCCGCUCGGCUCCCACGCGCUCCCAGAGUGACUGGGUGGCCUGUGGCUGUCUCCGUUGAUGGGUCUCACGCCAUUGAGGUGGCACAAAGUACCCCAACCGAAGACGCUCCGUUUCUGGGCCCCAAGCCAACCUGGGCCGGCAACAGCAGGCCAGGAGCCGGGCUCAGCUGAGCUGGCUUCUCGCCUUCCCAGACCAAAUCAGCCUUUCUCUCUGUCUCUCUGCCUUUAAGAUUCUGGAACACUCCUUCCUCCACCCCCGGCCUGCUCUCUCCCUUGGCAAAGCGGGGACUUGGCUGCAGAAGUCACUAGGGAGGCUCUGGCAGGCGGCUGGGCCUCCUCAGACUUUUUCUGUUUUUUUUUUUUUUUGGUACCAGGAGUUGAACUCAGGGGCACCCCACCCCUGAGCCACCUCCCCAGCCCUAUUUUGUAUUUUAUUUAGAGACAAAGUCUCACUGAGUUGCUUAGAGCCUCACAUUUGCUGAGGCUGGCUUUGAACUCACUAGCCUCCUGCCUCAGCCUCCAGAGCCUCUGGGAUGACAGGUGUGCGCCACCGAGGCCCAGCUGGCCCUUCUCCCUUGAAUCCAGAGCCUUUGGCUACUGCUGUGUCUCGGGUCCCCAGGGUACCGCCUGUCACAGAACAGGGCUCCGUGAGUGUCUGUUAAAACAAGGAGCAAGAGGUGGAUGAAGGGCUCCCGAGCCUCAGCCCUGCUGACCCUCUGCUGGUGAGGCCCUGGGUUGGGCCGUCUUGGCCCGGAUUCUCCCACCUUCGAAAUGAAGAGGUGAGGUUAGCCGCCCAGCCCACCCCAGCGACCACUGUGGCAAGCUGGACAGACGGUGGCCAUUCUCACAGUCCCAUGCGCAGAUUUAGUUUUUUUGUUUUGUUUUUGUUUUUUUGUAUGGGGGGAUGGAACCCAGGGGCACUUGGCCACUGAGCCGUGUCCCCAGCCCUGUUUUGUACUUUAUUUAGAGACAGGGCCUCACUGAGUGGCUUCAGGCCUCACUGAGUUGCUGAGGCUAGAUUUGGACUUCUGUCCUCCUGCCUCAGCCUCCCAAACUGCUGGCACUAUACAGGCGUGUAUUCAGAUUUUGAUGAAACUCAAUAAUUGUUGUGGGGGAAGCGCAGCCCUGAUUGGUGACUGUCACUGUCACUGACCUGGGGAAGAGCUGCUCGCUGAGGCUGUGGGUUGGGGCUCUGCAGUCUUUCAGCACAUGGGCAAGACCCCCUUUGUUCCCGUCCAGGAAGCAGCUUGCAGAGCAUCAUAGGAUGGAAUGACAUCCUACCCGAGAUCCACUUGGUCAUCUCUUUAUCUAGUUAACUAUUUAUGGAGCAUUAUCUAAGUGCCUGGCCCUGGGGACAGGAGCAAGAAGCCCUUCAGCACUUACCUUCCUGUGGGGGAGAGGGGGAUUCACACAUAAGGGUCCAUGUUAAACCCUCAUGAAAGUGCCUUAGAGGAGAUCAAGAGCCAGGGGGCAAGGGAAGGGGUUCCCUUAG
rnacentral:lncRNA from 1 species